rnacentral:misc_RNA from 2 species
AACUCUCAACCCCCUCAUUUUGUAAUGAAGUGAGUCGUGGGCUUGGAUUAUGGCUGUCUGUCGGCUUAAGUGCCGGCUCAGCUGAAAUACACGAGUAACCCAGUUUGAAAAUCUGACGGCUUGACUCGGCGUAAUAAUUAUUAUCGCUGAGGACGUCUAGCCUUCAAAUCGUUAGUGGUGCUUCUAAUGCAAAUCAUUUUAAGA